UACGGGGGGGGCAAGCGUUGUUCGGAAUUAUUGGGUUUAAAGGGUGCGUAGGCGGUCCUAUAAGUCAGUGCUGAAAUAUCCCGGCUUAACCGGGAGGGUGGCAUUGAUACUGUUGGACUUGAGUAAAGUUGAGGUUGGCGGAAUUGACGGUGUAGCGGUGAAAUGCUUAGAUAUCGGAAGGAACAUCAGUGGCGAAAGCGGCUUCCUGGACCAGCACCGACGUUCAGGCACGAAAGCGUGGGGAGCAAACAGG
rnacentral:rRNA from 1 species